GGGGAUUUAGCUCAGUGGUAGGGCGCUUGCCUAGCAAGCACAAGGCCCUGGGUUCGGUCCCCAGCUCCCCU
rnacentral:tRNA from 1 species